GGAUUGUGGCUCAGCGGUAGAGCGCUCGCCUAGCAUGUGCGAGGCCCUGGGUUUGAUUCUCAGCACCA
rnacentral:tRNA from 1 species